rnacentral:tRNA from 1 species
GCCUGGGUGGCUUAGUGGUUGAGCAUCUGCCUUCAGCUCAGGGAGUCCUGGGAUCAAGUCCCACAUCGGGCU